rnacentral:rRNA from 1 species
AACGAACGCUGGCGGCAUGCCUAACACAUGCAAGUCGAACGAGACCUUCGGGCCUAGUGGCGCACGCGUGCGUAACGCGAGGGAAACUGCCCUUAGGUUCGGAAUAACUCCCUGCAAGGGGUGCUAAUACCGGCUAAUGUCCUCCGUCCAAAGUCUUAUCGACUUUGGAUGGGCCCGCGUUGGAGUAGCCAGGUGGUAGGGUAAAAGCCUACCAAGGGCUUGAUUCAUAGCUGGUCUCUGAGGAUGAUCAGCCACACUGAGACUGAGAAACGGCCCAGACUCGUACACGAGGAAGCAGUGGGGGAUAUUGGACAAAGGGCGAGAGGCUGAACCAGCUAUGCCGGGUGAGUGAUGAAGGUCUGAGGGUUGUGAAGCUCUUUUAACCGGGAUGAUGAUGACAGUACCGGGAGAAUAAGCACCGGCUAACUCCGUG